CCUACGGGAGACAGCAGUGAGGAAUAUUGGUCAAUGGACGAGAGUCUGAACCAGCCAAGUAGCGUGAAGGAUGACUGCCCUCUGGGUUGUAAACUUCUUUUAUCUGGGACUAAAAUGUUCAACGUGUGGGAUUUUGUAUGUACCAUAGGAAUAAGGAUCGGCUAACUCCGUCCCAGCAGCCGCGGUAAUACGGAGGAUCAGAGCGUUAUCCGGAUUUAUGGGGUUUAAGGGGAGCGUAGGUGGAUUGUUAAGUCAGUUGUGAAAGUUUGCGGCUCAAGCGUAAAAUUGCAGUUGAAACUGGCAGUCUUGAGUACAGUAGAGGUGGGCGGAAUGCGUGGUGUAGCGGUGAAAUGCUUAGAUAUCACGAAGAACUCCGAUUGCGAAGACAGUUCACUGAACUGCAACUGACACUGAGGCUCGAAAGUGUGGGUAUCAAACAGGAUUAGAUACCCCUGUAGUC
rnacentral:rRNA from 1 species